AGGUCCCUCUCCCUCUCAGUCGUGCGCGCGCUACACAGAUGCUCACGCGGUUUGGAGCAGGUCUGUCUCGUGUGCGCGGUCUUGCUCGCUAGCUCUAGAUUCCGGGAGAUUUUAAGUAAUUUGCGGGCAUCAGGGAGUCCCUAUCAGUAUGCAGGAGCUUCUUGGAACUUCCGGGAAACUUGGGAUGUCUGACAACGGGUGUGAUCACUUGUCGGAAUUACAUACUCACUUCUGGUUUUAAUACCGAUCCCAGCGGAAAUACGGAUCCCUUACCUAUAGAUGCAAGAACCUUGGCGCAGGGUCAUACGUCACAUGGUCAAGCAAUGUGUCAAAGUAAGAGUCUCUACUGGGACUGGUUUUGAUGAUUGACCGGGGCUCCUGGACAUCAGAAAGUAUUGAUCAUCUGUGAAGACAAGACAAAAAAAAUGAAUUCAGAAAUCGAACAAAAAUGCCCCAUGUGCAGCUUGUGCUAUGCUGCCAUGCGGCAGCAUUUAAUGAAAGCGCACAAGGUUUGCAACAGAGUGGAGCUGAGGCUAAUACUUAAAGCCUCUAAUGGUCGUGUUGCAGAACCACUGAUAUGCACCAUCUGCAAUGAAAAGAAGGUCAGGCUGGACAAGCAUCUGCUGUCCAGCCACAAGUACCUGACGUCGGCAUCAAGGGCAGACCUUUUCAGGUGCUCGAAGAAGGAGUGGGUGCUUGGGCAGCUCAGGUUGUUGCGCGCAUCCAACCCCUCUCCUCCCAUGGUCAGCUAUCUUGAUAUUAGACCUGAGGACCUGGCCAGGGAGGAUCAGGAGGUUGCGCGCACAGUUUCCCUUUUGUCUGCCGCCCCUUCUGCUGCACCUGCUGCAGAGCCUGCUGCCCCUGCUACCCAGCCUGCCUGCCAUGGCUGCAGGAUCAGAGAGGCUGAAAAUGCCAAGCUGCGGGGGACUGUGGCCAUCCUCAUGGGUAGGGAGAGGAUGCACCGGCCCCCAAGGCGGCGCUUUCAGCGGGCAGAGGAGGACUUAUGUAUGGCUAAGCCCGGGUUUGAGGAACUCAUGGAUCUUUUCUACGAGAGGGAACUGGGGGCCAAAUCCGGCCUUAAGGACCAGGACAAUUGCAAGCAGAGGGUUGCGAAUAUCAGGGAAUUUGUGAUCCUCUGCUGCGACGGAGUCCCACAAAAAAGUCUAACCGCCCUAAAGGAGGAGAGGCGGCUGACUGUUGCCGUCGGGAAGCUGAAGGAGAAGGGCCUGGCCCCGACCACCAUAAAAAAAAAGAUGGUGGACGUCACUGUUUUUUUUAAAUGGUUGAAAAGGGCUUCGCCGGUCAGGGUCAGGCUUUCCCAGAAGGUCCUGGGGUGCCUGAUUGACCAAAUAAGGAAGCACCAAAAAGACCUGGCCAGGGAUGUGGUCAGACACCAGCAGCGAGUGAGGAGAAGAAAGACAGCAAAUCUCCUCAAGGCAGCUGACCACAGCCAGUUUAUCGACCUGGCCAGUCGAAAACUGCCCCUUUACCUCUCUCGGCUCGAGAAGUCCCUGGAGGACAGGGACCUCCAAAUGUUCUUUGGCCUCCUGGCGGGCCUGAUGGUAACCACAAGCGGCCAUAGAAUCAACACUAUUCGAAAUCUGACGGUCCAGGAGGUGGAGGAGGCCGUCCACGUAUGGGGGGACACGUACAUCUUAUACAUCAAAAGCCACAAGACGAGGGGGACUUUCGGCGAUGCCAAAGUGGCGCUCCAGGCAGAGGAGUAUGGCGUAAUGGUAAAGGCGAUGGAGAGCCGGGACUGUUUCCCUGGUGGAAUGUCGAACCACUAUUUUUUUAAUCAGUCCGGGAAACAGUCCCGGACACUUCUUGCCGCCUUCCAGGCCGUCUGGAAAGAGAUUGGGAUGAAGGAGCCUGCUCCAAGUUUUGUGGGCAUGAGAAGCUCAAUGGCCACACAUGCCCACAGGGCGCUACCUGCGGAAGCGGCCACGGCCGUGUCGGAGGCCAUGUGCCACUGCACGGCCGCGCGGUUUUACGCGGCAAACCAUUCCCCAGAGAAGACGUCAAAUUGAGGGAUGUAAUGAUCCGGCUCCAGCCUCGGAAGGAAGAGGCCUCCUGCUCCACCAUCCCACGAAGGAGGCCUCGGGUGCAGCCCACCGAUGCCUGAGCGCUGCAGACAUCCGGAAAGUGGUGUGGAAAUCACAAAAACCUCUCAAAAUAGAUAAGGUAAAACCUAGUUGAUACAUUUCAAACUAAAUGUAUUUGUUAAAUGUUAACUUGCUUUUACCUGUUGUAUCUGUUUUAUAAAACAGCCGGGCUGAGAGGAAGGAGUGCCAAACCAAAGCCCAAAAAAAGCCUUAAGAUGGUGGCACUUCCUCCCCCCUCAACUCCACCUCCUCCUUUUUAUGUAAUCUGUGUUGUGUUCUCUAUGUUGUUCAAUUUGUAAAUAGUUGUAAUGAAAUUCACCUCCCUCAACUCCUCCUUUCAUGUAAUCUGUGUUGUGUUCAUUAUUGUUAUUUUGUUAAAUUUGUAGAUAGUUGUAAUUAAAUGCUAUGUUGUUCAAAUGUUAUGUUGUUCAAGAUUUGUAAAUAGUUGUAAUGAAAUAAUAAAAUGUAUGUGUUGCAAUC
ensembl:lncRNA